GCAUGCGUCAAAAUUUAAUUCGAAUUAGCUUCACUUAGCGUUCACACGGAGCUAAUGUGAAGUAAUUUAAUGCGCAGUAAACUAAUUCGAAUUAAACUAAUUCGCAUUAAAUUCUCCGUGUGAACACGGAUCAAAUUUAAUUCGCAGUAACUUACGUUUAAUUCGAAUUAAACUCUCCGUGUGAACAGGGCAUUAGUUUGAUCUGGUUAAGUAUUUUAGCGUAUAGAUGAAUUAGCAGACAAGAAGCAGAAUAAGUACCAUAUACAUGUAUUUAGCUGAAAUUGUUUUUAGCUUUGAAUGUCAAGAAAUUAUUCUUGCUUCUUCACAAAUGAUGAAAGAUAUUAAUUUAAAAGUGACUCUUUACUAUGUAGUGUACUGUAAUUUAUCUAGACUAUGGUAGAUAUGAUGGCACAGAUUAUAGAACCAAUCAGAUUGCUUGAUGCAGACAGACCUGUCAUUGUUGUAUACAGUGUAUUCUGUGGGUAAAAUUAAGAGCUUUUAGCAAAACUGUGUAGGGGAAGUUUGUAAAAACAUAUUUUAACAUAUAUAUGUGCAUGUAUUAUCAAUAUCUGUCAGAAAAUCCUUAAGUAUAGCUUUGAAAGUUUAACCUAUGUUAUCAUGGUAUUAUGUGGUAGAUUUAAACAGAAUAGAACCACUCACUAGUAGUGAAUUAAAUCUGCUGCCUCCACUCUUAGAUUAAAAAAUAUAUUUCCCCUUCCUAUACAAUGUAUUGGAGCAUACCUCACAUUUAUUUAAAUCUCUUGUACAUUUAAUUAUUAGUAAAUCACAUUGAUGCAGAGAUAUAUUUUCUAAAUUUUGCUUUUAGUUUGCUAUUGGCUUGACUUAAUUGUUUUAAAUAUUAUUUAGCUGGGGAUUGUGACUAUAAUUUAUAAGAUCCAUCAUUCCUCAUUCAGGUUUAACACUUGGUGAUCCUGAAUAAGUAGUAGACAAAAUAGUACCACCCAUAUAAUACCGGUAAACUAGAGUCUCAAACAUGACUCAAGACUAAAGCAUGGCUCUAUUAAAAAAUAUUCAAAUCAGCCUCAAAGAAGAAAACUAUUUGACAUUGGAAUCAAAUGUCAAAUCAAUAAAAGGAUGCAUGCC